rnacentral:rRNA from 1 species
AGAGUUUGAUCAUGGCUCAGAACGAACGCUUGCGGCGUGCUUAACACAUGCAAGUCGAACGAGAAAGGGACUUCGGUCCUGAGUAAAGUGGCGCACGGGUGAGUAACGCGUAGGUAAUCUACCCUCGUGUUCGGGACAACAUCGGGAAACUGGUGCUAAUACCGGAUACGUUUCACAUUUAGCGAUAAGAGUGAAGGAAAGAUGGGGACCCUUCGGGGCCUAUUGCACGGGGAUGAGCCUGCGUACCAUUAGCUAGUUGGUGGGGUAAGAGCCUACCAAGGCGACGAUGGUUAGCGGGUCUGAGAGGAUGAUCCGCCACACUGGCACUGGAACACGGGCCAGACUCCUACGGGAGGCAGCAGUGAGGAAUUUUGCACAAUGGGGGAAACCCUGAUGCAGCGACGCCGCGUGAGUGAUGAAGGUCUUCGGAUCGUAAAGCUCUGUCAGUAGGGAAGAAACGUAUGGCGGCUAAUAUCCGUUGUACUUGACGGUACCUACAAAGGAAGCACCGGCUAACUCCGUGCCAGCAGCCGCGGUAAUACGGAGGGUGCGAGCGUUGUUCGGAUUUACUGGGCGUAAAGGGCGCGUAGGCGGCCGAUCAAGUCAUAUGUGAAAGCCCACGGCUCAACCGUGGAAGUGCAUGUGAAACUGGUUGGCUUGAGUACUGGAGGGGAGUGUGGAAUUCCCGGUGUAGAGGUGAAAUUCGUAGAUAUCGGGAGGAAUACCGGUGGCGAAGGCGACACUCUGGACAGAUACUGACGCUGAGGCGCGAAAGCGUGGGGAGCAAACAGGAUUAGAUACCCUAGUAGUCC